AUUGAACGCUGGCGGCAGGCCUAACACAUGCAAGUCGAACGAGUGGCGGACGGGUGAGUAAUGUCUGGGAAACUGCCUGAUGGAGGGGGAUAACUACUGGAAACGGUAGCUAAUACCGCAUACCAUCGGAUGUGCCCAUAUGGGAUUAGCUCUGUGGGGGGGUAAAGGCUCACCUAGGCGACGAUCCCUAGCUGGUCUGAGAGGAUGACCAGCCACACUGGAACUGAGACACGGCCCAGACUCCUACGGGAGGCAGCAGUGGGGAAUAUUGCACAAUGGGCGCAAGCCUGAUUCAGCCAUGCCGCGUGUAUGAAGAAGGCCUUCGGGUUGUAAAGUACUUUCAGCGGGGAGGCGUUACCCGCAGAAGAAGCACCGGCUAACUCCGUGCCAGCAGCCGCGGUAAUUC
rnacentral:rRNA from 1 species